rnacentral:rRNA from 1 species
GACAGAGGCCUCAAGCGUUAGGCGGAAUCACUGGGCUUAAAGCGUGUGUAGGCGGAUCGUUAAGUACCUUGUGAAAUCCCACGGCUCACCCGUGGAACUGCUGGGUAUACUGGCGAUCUUGGGCCAACUAGGGGCAGCUGGAACAAGCGGUGGAGCGGUGAAAUGCGUAGAUAUCGCUUGGAACGCCGGAAGGUGAAAACAGGCUGCUGGGGGUUGUGCCGACGCUGGAGACACGAAAGCCCAGGGGGAGCAAAACGGGGAUUAGAAAACCCGA